AUGUACACCAUCACCUGCAGCGCUGCAGCACUGAGACCUUCUGCCUUUGUGACAUCAUUGUGAUGACACUGAGUGUUCUAUGAGAGCUCAGUUUAGUUGAACCUUCAGUGUUUGUACAUCAUUUCUCACGAUGGCUGCUGAACAGGAGAGACAUGCUACCGACCGUCCUUCUCUAAUGCGACGCUUUUUGACCAGUCUACGUCUGUGCUGGCCGUUCGGUCGAGUUCGUCCUCAGAUGUCUUUUCAGGACGUCUGUGGUGGCGAGAUCGAACCGGAGGGCAGCGUGGAUGCAGAGAACCAGAUAGUUAUGGAGGGAUACUUGUUGAAGAGGGCCAGUAAUGUAUUUAAAACAUGGAACAGGCGCUGGUUCCUGAUUCAGGACAACCACCUUAUGUACAAGAAGAAAUCCAGGAAUAGCAUGGUGGUCAUAGCCGAUUUACGCCAGUGCACGGCCAAACACUACAGGAGCAUCGGACGCCGUUGCUGCUUCCAGGUGGUUUCACCUACAAAGAUCUGGGUAUUGCAGGCUGAUUCAGAGGAAAAUAGAGAGGCUUGGAUCAGAACCAUUCAGAACAUGGUUGCUAACACCGAUGGUGACAGAACAGACGACUCCAUCACUUCCCGAUCAGAUGAGGUGGUGGAUUUGAGCCCAAAACAGGAAGGAUCCAGUAGCUCCUCUAAAUCACGUGGAUCACAACACACACAGAGAGACUCGCUACGUCCACGAUCCGCUUCUGGAACUUCAGUUGAGAGUGUUGAAGCUACAGUUGGAGGGACCUCACACAUUGAAGAGAGCCCGGAGGAACUGAGCACCAGCACUUCCUCCAGCGACUCCAUCCACACAGCUGGUGAUGAGAGUACGACUACAGGAAAGCACUCGGUCCAGAGAGGCAGAGCUCCAUCUGAAGAGUGCUUCAAUAGUCGGUACAGAGUGGGAAAGCUUCUGGGGAAAGGAGGCUGCGGUUCUGUGUUUGCAGGACUUCGUGAGGCCGAUGGAAAACAGGUUGCUAUUAAGGUUGUGCUGAAGAGUGGCUGUGACAGAUUCAUCACCAUUCUUGGCGAGAAGAACGCUCUCCCUGUAGAGGUGGCGUUGAUGGUGAUGGUGUCCGAGCCACCUCGCUGUAAGUACGUCCUGGAGCUCCUGGAAUGGUUCGACAUGCCCGAGUGCUACGUCUUGAUCCUGGAGCGACCCGCCCGCUGCAUGGACCUCUACGAAUACCGAAGGAACGGCUCACUUCCCGAAUGUCUGACUCAGAUGAUCAUGUGGCAGGUGGUUCUCGCCGCCUGUCACUGCCGUAAUCGCGGGGUUCUCCAUCGGGAUAUCAAGGAGCAGAACCUUCUGGUCAGUUUCCACACCUUAGAGGUCAAGCUCAUAGACUUUGGCUGUGGGGACUUGCUGAAGUCGACCCCCUACAGACGUUUUGCAGGCACCAUGCUAUACGCCCCACCUGAAUGGAUCGAGGAAGGUAAGUAUCACGGUUGCGCUGCAACGGUGUGGAGCCUGGGUGUCCUUUUGUUUGUUCUAGUGUGUGGAGAGCUGCCAUUCUGGAAUGAGAGGGAGAUCGCUGCUGGACACCUGAUCUUCAAAGCUGGUGUGUCUAAGGCCUGCCGUCAUCUGAUCAGACGCUGCCUGGCGAAGGAUCCAAAUAAGAGACCCAGCCUCGAGAUGAUCCUGGAGCACCACUGGUUUCCAGAGAUCCUUAGAAACUAAGUCCAGCACAGGUCUGCUACAAGAACACAUCCAGAGGUUUCUGGCUGAGGUUCAGAUCACCUCUAUUCCUCAGCACUGUGUACAUACCACGCUGGAUCAGAAAGAAAGCCCCAUCAAUGAACAAGUCUAACCUACAACCAACCAGAAGCAACCAGAUCAGAUUUGGGCCCAAGCACCCUGAUACCCAGCAGAAGAUGAAACGUCCUUGAGUGACCACAACCAUCUACGGUUGGUGUCUGGGAAUGGAUCCUGCAGACGUUUAACACAUGUGUAUUGUGCCUUGAUUGCAGUUGAUGGUCAUUUAACGGUCAGUAUAUUGAAUAAAACUGUUUGAUAAA